rnacentral:tRNA from 1 species
GGGCCCGUAGUCUAGCGGCUAUGACGUCGCCCUUACAAGGCGGAGGUCCCCAGUUCGAAUCUGGGCGGGCCCA